rnacentral:lncRNA from 1 species
AGAUCACAACAUACAACGCAGAUGGGGUCGAGCGGUCUGACUCGACUUCCAUAUUUGCCUAUCCAUAAAUAGCAGGUGUUUGCCCCAAGGCAUGGGGUUGAGACCAUCCAUAAGCUCUUAGAGUUAGGUGGAGGCCGAAUAUCGAGUCGAGGUAGAGAUUGUUGAAAUUUUGAUAUCUCGAAUUCGAUCCACUGGAAAAAAAUUCAAGAUAGAGAAGCCCGCAGGAGAAAUCACAAUAUGAUGGAGGCUCG